rnacentral:rRNA from 1 species
UACGUAUGGAGCAAGCGUUAUCCGGAUUUACUGGGUGUAAAGGGAGCGUAGGCGGUAAGGCAAGUCUGAUGUGAAAGCCCGGGGCUCAACCCCGGGACUGCAUUGGAAACUGUUUAACUAGAGUGUCGGAGAGGUAAGUGGAAUUCCUAGUGUAGCGGUGAAAUGCGUAGAUAUUAGGAGGAACACCAGUGGCGAAGGCGGCUUACUGGACGAUAACUGACGCUGAGGCUCGAAAGCGUGGGGAGCAAAC